AGUUUAUCUAGAUGGCUUCGUGGAUGCCGAAGAGGAAGACUUCUACAACCUCUGGACAACAGCCUCCACUUUUAUCAUCCUCUUCCUCCUGAGUCUUUUCUACAGCACCACGGUGACACUGAUCAAGGUGAAAUAAACCCAACAGCCCAAGAUUGUUCCAACCAAAGGAGUCCACGGAAAGCGAUUUUCCUGAAGAACCGUUCCAAACUUUGCUCCAUUCUGUCACCUGCGUAAUUGUUGUGUUCACCUGCCUGUGGAACAUUCUCAGACAUCGUCUGAAUGUAAUUGGACUUUCUGUCUAUUGUUUAUGCUCUUUCCUCUCCAUUUUUAAUGCACAUUUGGCCAGUUUUUUAUUUCUUUCUAUUCUGGUAAUCUCUGCUUUAUGCAAAAUGCAAUCUCUGCUGGCAUAAGAAGUUGCACGUUAAUGGAUAUAUGUAAUCAAAUUGCACAACUUGUUGUUUCCCCAGGCGUUUGUACUUCUCAUCCUGUACAUAUUUUUCAUGUUGAAAUAAAGAGAUUUAUUAUGUUGACAUA